AUACGUAGGUGGCAAGCGUUGUCCGGAUUUAUUGGGCGUAAAGCGAGCGCAGGCGGUUUCUUAAGUCUGAUGUGAAAGCCCCCGGCUUAACCGGGGAGGGUCAUUGGAAACUGGGAGACUUGAGUGCAGAAGAGGAGAGUGGAAUUCCAUGUGUAGCGGUGAAAUGCGUAGAUAUAUGGAGGAACACCAGUGGCGAAGGCGAUGCUCUGGUCUGUAACUGACGCUGAGGCUCGAAAGCGUGGGGAGCAAACAGGAUUAGAUACCCUGGUAGUCCACGCCGUAAACGAUGAGUGCUAAGUGUUGGAGGGUUUCCGCCCUUCAGUGCUGCAGCUAACGCAUUAAGCACUCCGCCUGGGGAGUACGGCCGCAAGGCUGAAACUCAAAGGAAUUGACGGGG
rnacentral:rRNA from 1 species